rnacentral:lncRNA from 1 species
CACAAAAUUUUGAUCUCAAGUUAUCAAAUUUUAAAAUCACAAUAUAAUAUUUGGUCACAUAUAAUCGAAUAAUUUGUUCACCGCCACCACCACCACUUGCGACCACCCUCGCCAUACCACCGCCACUCCAAAAACCAAUCGACUGAAUCAAACAAAAAUAACAAAACCUCAAAGAUCCACUUGCACCACAACAUCAAAACCACCACCAGAUUUCUCCACCAUAGCGAAGAGGACAUCUAUACACAACUGUUCCCACUUAGCAUAUUAGAUUGAAAGGAGAAUGAAAUCAUCCCCAAAAAACCCCAAAUUACCUUCCUGAAUUUUCUCUAUUGCCAGCGAUCAAAAAUCCUCAAACCCCUUACCAAAUUUUCUACAGCAUAUCGAGCAACGUGCUCGUGAGUUAGCAACAGCCUCAACGCUGUCGUUCAACACCACUGCGAACGAUAGAACGUGCAGCGGUAUCUCAGUUCCACUCGUUGACAUCUUCCAGUGGUGUUGUCU